UGUGUGAUGUGUCUUUCUGUCCAGGAAGCCUGGAGCAGUGCUUGCAAAAGAGAGUGGGGCUGCUGCUGCUUCUGGAGCCCAUUGGGAAAGGUGGGUGCAUCAUUCCCGCAGACUAGAGAGGGACCUUUGUGCUGUUUGUGGCAUUUUUAAGACAUUCUUAAUCAGAAAAAGCAAGUAAUUUAGAGAAUUGUGCUGUGGCCACAAAAUCAUCCUCCUGCUGUUGGGCCAGAAAAUCACCCUCCUGCCUGUCUGUUUGCUUUUGGCACCAUGACCCGGCACAAGCAGAAAAAAUCUGGGAAGAAACACAAACAUGGCAAGAAAAAGGAUGCAAAAGCACAUGUGAAAAAAGACCCAGGACUGCCUCAGUUGUCGCGUUUCAAAGAGCAUGCCAAAAAGGAAGCAGCACUCAAGCAGAAAAGGGUUACAGAGAUGCAGGAACGGCAACGCCUGGCCCGGCAAAAGGAAAUUGGCAAGUUCCGGAGUCUGGAAGGCCUUCAGAAGGAUGCUUUGCAAAGGCAGCUGCGUUUUGAACAAAAGGAGAUGGACCUGAAGCAACUGGCCAAGCAUGCCCUUUUAGAGAAAGACAGUUCCUGCAAGGCCUACUAUAAGGAGUUUCGGAAGGUAAUUGAAGCUGCUGAUGUGAUCCUGGAAGUCCUUGAUGCUCGGGAUCCCCAAGGCUGCCGCUGCCCCCAGGUUGAGCAGGCAGUGGUGCAGGCUGGAACUAACAAGAGGCUGGUCCUGAUCCUAAAUAAAAUUGAUUUAGUGUCUAAGGAGAUUGUGGCAAAGUGGCUGAAAUACCUGAGAAAUGAAUUCCCUACAGUGGCCUUCAAAGCUUCCACUCAGCAGCAGAGCAAAAAUCUGCAACAGAGCCGUGUCCCAGUAACCCAGGCUUCAGGUGACUUGCUCAGCAGUGGAGCUUGUGUGGGGGCUGACUGUCUCAUGAAGGUAUUAGCUAACUAUUGCCGGAACCAGGAUGUCAGGACAGCUAUAACAGUUGGAGUUGUGGGCUUCCCAAACGUUGGCAAAAGCAGCUUGAUCAACAGCCUGAAGAGGAGCCGGGCAUGCAGUGUCGGUGCCACACCUGGUGUCACCAAGUGCCUGCAAGAGGUGCAUCUGGACAAGCACAUCAAACUCCUGGACUGCCCGGGGAUUGUCAUGGCUUCACCCACUUCUGAUGCUGCCAUGAUUCUACGAAAUUGUAUUAAGAUAGAGCAACUGGUUGACCCUGUCAGUCCGGUGGAAGCCAUUUUGAAACGAUGCAACAAGCAGCAGAUUAUGCAGCACUAUGGUGUGCCAGAUUUCCAGGAUACCAUGGAGUUCUUGGCUCUUUUGGCCAGGCGUCAGGGGAAGUUGAAGAAAGGAGGGAUACCAGACCAUGAGAAGGCAGCCAAGGCAGUGCUAAGUGACUGGACAAGUGGAAAGAUCAGCUAUUUUACACAUCCACCUGAAACCCACACAUUGCCCACUCACAUCAGUGCUGAGAUUGUGGCAGAAAUGGGCAAGGCCUUUGAUUUUGAAGCUCUUGAACAGGAGAAUGAGAAGGUUUUGGAGGGCUUGCCCUCUGGCCCUGUUGGCAUUAGUUUAGAGGGCUCUGGCCUCACUAUUGGGGCAGAAGCUGUGAUGGAUGAGGAGGAAGAACUCUGCCAUCAGGAACCAGAAGAGACCAAAAUGGAAGAAGAUGGGGAUCCAGAGUUUGGCCCUAUGACAAUAGAGCUGAAAGCCAAGAGCAAGGCCCUUGUGGAAGCUGAGAAGGCUGUGCCCCGGGCCCCUGACCUGGGUGAAAUCUCUGCCUUGGAUCCCUUGCAGCAGGGCCAGGGCCUGCGGGCAGCAAGCAAGAGACGCAAAAAACAGCAGAAGCGAGCAGGAAUUGGAGAGCAUAGAAAGGGAUCCCAAGAGGGACUCUUCUCACAUCCUGGAUGUAACAAAUACUGAGCAAGAUGGAGCAAUGGUUUGGCUCAGUAUAUAACAGUUUCUUCUGCUUCUGAAGCUGUUCUCCUCAUGAAAAGUUUCUUGUCAGUGAACAUCCUUGGCAUCAUUGCACAAGCAAAAAUUGCCACCAAGCUCUCUGCAACACUGACAGCAGCUAUGAAUUUCAGCCUGUCAGAUGACUAAGGAAAUAGUGCAGAUGAAAAGAUGGACAUGGAGACUUCCUUUUAUCUACCUCAGAAGGCUGCUCUCUCACACAAGUCACUGGCAUGUGGAGGCAGUUUUCUUAACGUCUGUCAUACGUCUGCAUCACCAAAGCAAGUGGCAACAUCAUGCCUAUGCAAAACCUAAUGUUUUGACUCAGAAGCUUUUUAUUUAAUUGGUUAAAAUCGGAAGCACUGUGUAAAUAAGAAGUGUCAUUCAGUGAGA